rnacentral:rRNA from 1 species
GAUGAACGCUGGCGGCGUGCUUAACACAUGCAAGUCGAACGGAAAGGCUCCUGCUUGCAGGGGUACUCGAGUGGCGAACGGGUGAGUAACACGUGGGUGAUCUGCCCUGCACUUCGGGAUAAGCCUGGGAAACUGGGUCUAAUACCGGAUAGGACGAUGGUUUGGAUGCCAUUGUGGAAAGUUUUUCGGUGUGGGAUGAGCUCGCGGCCUAUCAGCUUGUUGGUGGGGUAAUGGCCUACCAAGGCCUCGACGGGUAGCCGGCCUGAGAGGGUGUACGGCCACAUUGGGACUGAGAUACGGCCCAGACUCCUACGGGAGGCAGCAGUGGGGAAUAUUGCACAAUGGGCGCAAGCCUGAUGCAGCGACGCCGCGUGGGGGAUGACGGCCUUCGGGUUGUAAACUCCUUUCGCUAGGGACGAAGCGCAAGUGACGGUACCUGGAGAAGAAGCACCGGCUAACUACGUG